AGGGCACCACCAGGAGUGGAGCCUGCGGCUUAAUUUGACUCAACACGGGAAAACUCACCCGGCCCGGACACCGUAAGGAUUGACAGACUGAGAGCUCUUUCUUAAUUCGGUGGGUGGUGGUGCAUGGCCGUUCUUAGUUGGUGGAGCGAUUUGUCUGGUUAAUUCCGAUAAUGAACGAGACUCUGGCCUAUUAAAUAGUCGGUAUAUCCAGAAAAGUUUACCGUACUUCUUAGAGGGACAAACGGCGUCUAGCCGCGUGAAAUAGAGCAAUAACAGGUCUGUGAUGCCCUUAGAUGUCCGGGGCUGCACGCGCGCUACACUGAAAGAAUCAGUAUGCGCUUUAACCUAGUCCGGAAGGAUUGGGUAACCCGAGCAAAUUCUUUCGUGCUUGGGAUAGGGAAUUGCAAUUAUUUCCCUUAAACGAGGAAUUCCCAGUAAAUGCGGGUCAUAAGCUCGCGUUGAUUACGUCCCCGCCCUUUGUACACACCGCCCGUCGCUACUACCGAUUGGAUGACCUAG
rnacentral:rRNA from 1 species